rnacentral:rRNA from 1 species
GGGCCCGCACAAGCGGUGGAGCAUGUGGUUUAAUUCGAUGAUACGCGAGGAACCUUACCAGGGCUUAAAUGUAGUGGGACAGGUCUAGAGAUAGACCCUUCUUCGGACUCAUUACAAGGUGCUGCAUGGUUGUCGUCAGCUCGUGCCGUGAGGUGUCAGGUUAAGUCCUAUAACGAGCGCAACCCCUAUCGUUAGUUGCCAGCGGGUAAUGCCGGGAACUCUAGCGAAACUGCCGGUGCAAACCGUGAGGAAGGUGGGGAUGACGUCAAAUCAUCACGGCCCUUACGUCCUGGGCUACACACGUGCUACAAUGGUCGGUACAGAGAGCAGCCACUACGCGAGUAGGAGCGAAUCUUCAAAACCGAUCUCAGUUCGGAUCGCAGUCUGCAACUCGACUGCGUGAAGCUGGAAUCGCUAGUAAUCG